AUUGAACGCUGGCGGCAUGCCUUACACAUGCAAGUCGAACGGUAACGGGCCUUCGGGUGCCGACGAGUGGCGAGCGGGUGAGUAAUGCAUCGGAACGUACCUUUCAGUGGGGGAUAACGUAGCGAAAGUUACGCUAAUACCGCAUAUUCUGUGAGCAGGAAAGCAGGGGAUCGCAAGACCUUGCGCUGAUUGAGCGGCCGAUGUCAGAUUAGCUAGUUGGUGAGGCAAAGGCUCACCAAGGCGACGAUCUGUAGCGGGUCUGAGAGGAUGAUCCGCCACACUGGGACUGAGACACGGCCCAGACUCCUACGGGAGGCAGCAGUGGGGAAUUUUGGACAAUGGGGGCAACCCUGAUCCAGCCAUGCCGCGUGAGUGAAGAAGGCCUUCGGGUUGUAAAGCUCUUUCGGCCGGGAAGAAAUCGCACAGGCUAAUACCUUGUGUGGAUGACGGUACCGGAAUAAGAAGCACCGGCUAACUACGUGCCAGCCGCCGCGGUAAAAC
rnacentral:rRNA from 1 species